GGGGGUAUUGCCAAUCGAUUUACCGAUAUCUAAUAUAAUAGAAAAUACAUAUAUAAUAGAACUAAACUAUCUUGUCUAUAUACUUUCCUUCGUUCUGUUUCUAUCAUGGGCUUUACGAAAUUGGUUGGAUCAGAUAGAUAUCUCUUCACCAUAACCGUUUCAAUCUUAUCCUUAGUUCCUUAAUCAGGCAGCAGUAUUCCCAAUUCUAGGAAGAACUACAUCUUAGAUGAUAUGCUAAGAGCAUCAUUUUGACACCAGGAGCUUUCCUUCUUCCUCUUGUUCACAAUUCUCUUUGGUUUCUUCAAAAAUUCAAGACCCAAUAUAUGGGGGCAUGUCAUAACUCAAUCCUGGG
rnacentral:lncRNA from 1 species